rnacentral:rRNA from 1 species
UACGUAGGGUGCGAGCGUUGUCCGGAAUUAUUGGGCGUAAAGAGCUCGUAGGCGGUGUGUCACGUCGGCCGUGAAAACCUGCAGCUUAACUGUGGGCGUGCGGUCGAUACGGGCAUCACUGGAGUUCGGCAGGGGAGACUGGAAUUCCUGGUGUAGCGGUGAAAUGCGCAGAUAUCAGGAGGAACGCCGGUGGCGAAGGCGGGUCUCUGGGCCGAUACUGACGCUGAGGAGCGAAAGCGUGGGGAGCAAACAGG